GUCGGCCCUGCCCGGUGGGUAAGUAUACCUAAACGGUCGCAAUGAAGAGUUGUGCUAAGGUAGCGCAAUAAAUUGUCCUUUAAUUGGGGAAAUGAAUGAAGGGGUUGACGAGGGGGAAGCUGUCUUUUUAAUAUAGUUCGAAGUUUUCUUUUAUGUGAAAAGACUUAGAUUUUAGAAUAAGAAGAGAAGACCCCGGCGAGCUUGUUAAGGUUUAAUAACGUUUAUUAAUUAUUGAUUUUUGUUGGGGCAACGCAAAGGGAAAAAAACUCCUUUGUAUUAAAUAAGGAUCCACUCAGAGUGAAUCAAGCAAAAGCUACCGUGGGGAUAACAGCGCAAUUUUUUCAGAGAGUUCAUAUCGAAGAGAAAGCUUGCGACCUCGAUGUUGGAUUAAGAUUUCCUUUUGGUGCAGGAGUUAAAAAGGUAGGACUGUUCGUCCUUUAAAAUCUU
rnacentral:rRNA from 1 species